rnacentral:rRNA from 1 species
UUAGAGUUUGAUCCUGGCUCAGAACAAACGCUGGCGGCGUGGAUAAGACAUGCAAGUCGAACGAGAGAAUUGCUAGCUUGCUAAUAAUUCUCUAGUGGCGCACGGGUGAGUAACACGUGAGUAACCUGCCCCCGAGAGCGGGAUAGCCCUGGGAAACUGGGAUUAAUACCGCAUAGUAUCGAAAGAUUAAAGCAGCAAUGCGCUUGGGGAUGGGCUCGCGGCCUAUUAGUUAGUUGGUGAGGUAACGGCUCACCAAGGCGAUGACGGGUAGCCGGUCUGAGAGGAUGUCCGGCCACACUGGAACUGAGACACGGUCCAGACACCUACGGGUGGCAGCAGUCGAGAAUCAUUCACAAUGGGGGAAACCCUGAUGGUGUGACGCCGCGUGGGGGAAUGAAGGUCUUCGGAUUGUAAACCCCUGUCAUGUGGGAGCAAAUUAAAAAGAUAGUACCACAAGAGGAAGAGACGGCUAACUCUGUGCCAGCAGCCGCGGUAAUACAGAGGUCUCAAGCGUUGUUCGGAAUCACUGGGCGUAAAGCGUGCGUAGGCUGUUUCGUAAGUCGUGUGUGAAAGGCGCGGGCUCAACCCGCGGACGGCACAUGAUACUGCGAGACUAGAGUAAUGGAGGGGGAACCGGAAUUCUCGGUGUAGCAGUGAAAUGCGUAGAUAUCGAGAGGAACACUCGUGGCGAAGGCGGGUUCCUGGACAUUAACUGACGCUGAGGCACGAAGGCCAGGGGAGCGAAAGGGAUUAGAUACCCCUGUAGUCCUGGCAGUAAACGGUGCACGCUUGGUGUGCGGGGAAUCGACCCCCUGCGUGCCGGAGCUAACGCGUUAAGCGUGCCGCCUGGGGAGUACGGUCGCAAGAUUAAAACUCAAAGAAAUUGACGGGGACCCGCACAAGCGGUGGAGUAUGUGGCUUAAUUCGAUGCAACGCGAAGAACCUUACCUGGGCUUGACAUGUAAUGAACAACAUGUGAAAGCAUGCGACUCUUCGGAGGCGUUACACAGGUGCUGCAUGGCCGUCGUCAGCUCGUGUCGUGAGAUGUUUGGUUAAGUCCAGCAACGAGCGCAACCCCUGUUGCCAGUUACCAGCACGUGAAGGUGGGGACUCUAGAGAGACUGCCAGGGAUAACCUGGAGGAAGGUGGGGACGACGUCAAAUCAUCAUGCCCCUUAUGACCAGGGCUACACACGUGCUACAAUGGCGUAAACAGAGGGAAGCAGCCUCGUGAGAGUGAGCAAAUCCCAAAAAUAACGUCUCAGUUCGGAUUGUAGUCUGCAACUCGACUACAUGAAGCUGGAAUCGCUAGUAAUCGCGAAUCAGAAUGUCGCGGUGAAUACGUUCCCGGGUCUUGCACUCACCGCCCGUCA